rnacentral:rRNA from 1 species
AUUGAACGCUGGCGGCAGGCUUAACACCUGCAAGUCGAGCGGAGAUGAGGUGCUUGCACCUUAUCUUAGCGGCGGACGGGUGAGUAAUGCUUAGGAAUCUGCCAUUUAGUGGGGGACAACAUUCCGAAAGGAAUGCUAAUACCGCAUACGUCCUACGGGAGAAAGCAGGGGAUCUUCGGACCUUGCGCUAAAUGAUGAGCCUAAGCAGGAUUAGCUAGUUGGUGGGGUAAAGGCCUACCAAGGCGACGAUCUGUAGCGGGUCUGAGAGGAUGAUCCGCCACACUGGGACUGAGACACGGCCCAGACUCCUACGGGAGGCAGCAGUAGGGAAUAUUGGACAAUGGGCGGAAGCCUGAUCCAGCCAUGCCGCGUGUGUGAAGAAGGCCUUUUGGUUGUAAAGCACUUUAAGCGAGGAGGAGGCUACUAGUACUAAUACUACUGGAUAGUGGACGUUACUCGCAGAAUAAGCACCGGCUAACUCUGUGCCAGCCGCCGCAGUAACAC